GCAAAUUCAUAUCAUCAUUUUUGUUCUUGUAUUGUAAUACAUGGCGAAUCACAUAUCGAACUAUUGUCAAUUGUUUGGAAUUAUAGUUCUAAUGAUAACUGGUAAAUAUUUUGUUGUUUAAUAUAGUGAUGUUAUAGUAUAAAUGAUAUAUAUAUAUAGUAUAUAAUUAUAAAACAACAAAUGAUAUCAAUGUUUAAUCAUGAUCAUAACUAUUUUCUCUCUUUUGAUUUUCUUUUUUUACUUAACAGCUUGGAGUAUGAUACCAAUAAUAGAUGCCAAAUCAUGCUCACAAGAUCGUAUGGGUGCAUGCGGUGCAACUGGGCAAUGUGACCAAAGGUGUAAAGCCUAGCACCCUGGUGGACAAGGAUCCUGCAAUUUGGGCUUGUGUACUUGUGAUUACUGCACCUAAAACCCAACAUCUAAGAAAUAUUGAAC
rnacentral:lncRNA from 1 species